GCAGACACACUCCAGCCAAUCAGCAGCAGACCCUCCCUCCCAGACCCUCCCACCUCCUGGACAGCAUCCAUUUUGAAGCUGCAUUCUUAGUGAGCUGUCCAGGAGGUGGGAGGGUCUGGGAGGGAGGGUCUGCUGCUGAUUGGCUGGAGUGUGUCUG